CAUAAGGAAUACUUUUAGUUAAUCUAUAAUCUAUAGAAACAAUGUUUAGCACUGGCUUGCUAUCAAUAAAUAUGCAGGUAAAUCUCUGUUCAGGGCUCUCAGUUCUGAAGGCUGUAAGACCCUUGAUUUCCCACUCCACACUCUAUAUUUCUGUGUGUAUGUCUUUAAUUCCUCUAGCGCCGCUGGUUAGGGUCUCCAUGACUAAACUGGUCUCGACAAGUGUUACCCAUAUGUGGGGCUUGAACUCAGGUCAAAGGGUCACCAGAGCAAUGGUUGGAGAAUGUGGAACUAAGCUGGAGGACACCCAAGUACUCUUAAGCAAUCCCUGUGGUGAGUAGAAGGGGAACUUGGAAGCAUCAGGGUAACAAUGGGACAACUGUGGGCUCUGGUUCCUUCCGCCCUGGAACCUUUACACACUGAUGAUGAGGACGAACAGAAGGGGUAACAGAGCAGGUUUGAUUGCAAGCUAAAGCUAAAGCAGCAAAGGGGGAAGAGGUUCAUCCAUACCCUUCUGUACCCCUCCUUAUUUUGAAGAAAAAGAGUGGCCUGACACUCUAGAUCUUUCUUCUCUAGAGGACACUGGGUGAAAAGUAGUUGCCCCAGUGACUGUUUGAGCAGCACCUCGAGUGACCGCUCUCAGUUCUAUGCAGGCAGGAAUCCAGUAAGCUAGAAGAGAAGGUGAUUUAGAGGCUUGGCAGUUCCCUGUUAGAAUACACCCCUCAGAUCAACAGGGAAAUAUCAUAGCUACAUUUGAGUCUUUUCCUUUUAAAUUAUUCAAAGAAUUUAAACAAGCUAUUAAUCAAUAUGGAUGAGGUUCUCCUUUUGUAAUGGGAAUGAUAAAGAAUGUUGCUGUCUCCAGUCAGAUGAUGCCAGUGGGGAUGAUAGGAUUACUUCUAGGUAGAUCUAGUUUAAAUUUAAAAGGAGUGCAAGUACAAACAGGAGUCAUCGAUUCAGAUUACAAUGGGGAAAUUCAAAUUGUUAUAUCUACUUCUGUUCCAUGGAAAGCAGAGCCAGGAGACCAUAUAGCACAGCUCUUGAUUGUGCUAUAUGUGGAAAUGGGGAAAAGUGAAAUUAAACUAACAGAAGGAUUUGGAAGUACAAAUAAACAAGGCAAAGCAGCUUAUUGGGUAAAUCAAAUUACUGAUAAAGAUCCUACCUGUGAAAUAACUAUUCAGGGAAAGAAGUUUAAAGGUUUGGUAGAUACAGGAGCAGACGUUUCAACCAUUUCUCUACAGCAAUGGCUGUCCACCUGGCCAAGUCAACCCACUAAAUUUAACACAGUUGGAGUUGGUAAAGCCCCUGAAGUACAUCAAAGUAGUUAUAUUUUGCAUUGUGAAGGGCCCGAUGGAAAACCUGGGACUAUUCAUCCAAUUGUAACUUCUGUACCUAUAAAUUUAUGGGGAAGAGGUUUAUUAUAACAAUGGGGAGCACAAGUUCUAAUUCCAGAACAAUUACAUAGCCCUCAAAGUCAACAUGUGAUGCAUGAAAUGGGGUAUGUCCCUGGUAUGGGACUAGGAAAAAACUUGCAAGGUUUGAAGGAACCGCUUGAAGCAGGAAGACAAAGUUCCCACCAAGGUUUAGGAUAUCACUUUUGAUGGUGGCCAUUGUUAAGCCUCCAGAACCUAUACCUUUAAAAUGGUUAACAGAUAAGCCAAUUUGGAUAGAACAAUGGCUGCUAAGUAAAGAGAAACUGGAGGCUUUAGAGGACUUAGUUACUGAACAAUUAGAAAAAGGACACAUAGCUCCAACAUUUCCCCCCUGGAAUUCUCCAGUCUUUGUUAUUAAGAAAAAAUCAGGUAAAUGGAGAAUGCUAACUGACUUAAGAGCCAUUCAUUUAGUUAUACAACCUAUGGGGACAUUACAGCCAAGAUUGCCUUCUCCUGCUAUGAUUCCAAAAAAUCGGCCUUUAAUAGUCAUAGAUUUAAAAGACUGUUUCUUUACUAUCCCCUUAGCUGAGCAAGACUGUGAACAGUUUGAAUUUAUAAUUCCUGCAGUAAAAAACCUGCAGCCUGCUAAAUGUUUUCACUGGAAAGUGUUGCCACAAGGCAUGUUAAACAGUCCAGCAAUUUGCCAGACUUAUGUAGGGCAAGCAAUUGAACCUACUCAUAAAAAAUUUUCACAGUGUUACAUUAUUCAUUACAUGGACAAUAUAUUUUGUGCUGCCCUCACUUGAGAAAUAUUACCCCAAUGUUAUGAUCACAUGCAAAAUUUGAUUUCUCGUGCUGGUUUAAUUAUAGCUCCUGACAAAAUUCAGACUACUACUCCUUACUCCUACUUGGGGACCUUAUUAAAUGACACUACCAUUGUGCCACAGAAAGUAACCAUACGUAGGGAUCAACUAAAAACAUUAAAUGACUUUCAAAAAUUGCUAGGGGACAUUAAUUGGAAAUGAUCUGCUCUAGGCAUUCCUACCUAUGCCAUGAGUAAUCUAUUUUCUAUUCUUAGAGGAGAUCCUAGUCUCACUAGCCCUCGAUAAUUAACAAAGGAGGCUGAGGCAGAGUUACAGCUGAUUGAAAAGCAAGUCCAUAGAGCCCAAAUAAAUAGAAUAGAUCCAGAGAAGACUCUAGAUUUGCUAAUUUUUCCAACUUAGCAUUCACCUACUGGUGUAACUGUAAAAGAGCAAGAUCUUGUAGAGGGGCUUUUUCUUCCACAUACUAAUCCACGGACUCUAACUCCUUAUUUGGAUCAAAUCGCUACUAUGAUAGGAAAUGGGAGAACUCAGAUUGUUAAAUUACAUGAAUAUGAUCCUGGAAAAAUUACUGUCCCUCUCACAAAGGCACAAAUACAGCAAGCUUUUAUAAAUAGUCUUACUUGGCAAACCCAUUUAGCUGACUUUGUGGGUAUUCUCGAUAAUCAUUUUCUUAAAACUGUUUCAAUAUUUGAAAUUAACUAAUUGGAUCCUCCCUAGAAUAACUAAAUUUAAACCAAUUGAAGGUGCUGAGAAUGUUUUUACAGAUGGGUCUAGUAAUGGUAAAGCUUCUUAUUCUGGAUCAAAAGGUAAAAUUUUUCAGAUGCCCUAUACUUCAGCUCAAAAAGCAGAGCUUGUAGCUGUAAUUGACGUAUUGAAUGCUUAUAAAAUGCCUAUUAAUAUGAUUUCUGAUUCUUCAUAUGUGGUUCAUUCCACACAAUUAAUUGAAAAUGCUCAGUUAUGAUUUCAUACAGAUGAACAACUGAUGACUUUAUUUACCCAAUUGCAAACAGCAGUCAGGAGUAGAAUGCACCCUUUUUACAUCACUCACAUUAGGGCUCAUACACCUCUUCCAGGACCUUUGACUGCAGGGAAUCAAAUGGCUGAUUGCCUAGUUGCUACUGUAAUAUCUAGCGCUAGACAUUUUCACAAUGUAACCCAUGUUAAUGCCUCUGGUCUCAAAUGCAGAUACAGCAUUACCUGGAAAGAAGCUAAAGCUAUUAUCCAGGGAUGCCCAACUUGGCAAAUGGUGCAUUCCUUAUCUUUUACAGGAAGAGUUAAUCCUCAAGGAUUGGAACCUAAUUCUCUUUGGCAAAUGGCUGUCACACACGUUCCCUCAUAUGGGAGACUAGCUUAUGUACAUGUAUGUGUGGACAACUUUUCUCACUUUUUCUGGACUACAUGCCAAUCAGGAGAGUCUUCUGCCUGUGUUAAACAUCACCUUUUGCAGUGUUUUGUGGUGAUGGGCAUUCCAGCUUCUAUUAAAACAGAUAAUGCCCUAGGCUAUACUAGCCAAGCUCUAGCUACAUUUUUCUCUAUAUGGAAUAUUAACACAUUACUGGCAUCCCAUAUAAGUCUCAAGGACAAGCUAUAGUAGAAAGAAUGCAUCUCUCCAUGAAACGGCAGUUGCAAAAGCAAAAGGAGAGAAACAGGGACUACGGGACACCCCAGACACCACUGAAUCUAGCAUUAUUAACUUUAAAUUUUUUGAGCCUGCCUAAAGACCAGAUGUUAUCAGCAGCUGAACAGCAUCUACAGAAACCAGCUGCAAAGACAGAAGCAGAACAACUGGUUUGGUGGAGAGAUCCAAUAACAAAAAGUUGGGAAAUAGGUAAAAUAAUUUUGGGUAGAGGUUAUGCUUGCGUUUCUCCAGGCCAAAACAAGCAGCCAAUUUGGAUACCAUCAAGACACCUGAAACCUUAUCAUGAGCCAGAUGCCAAAGAAGAGAUUCCGGGAGGAUCCUGAGGACCCACCAGUUGCAGUCAUGUCGAGACUGAUGCUGAGGAGGACCCCAACUGUCAUGAGCAACACCUGUCAAACACAGCCACCCACCUGGGGACAGAUCAAGAAGCUGUCAUAGAUGGCAGAAGAAAACCUGAGGAAAGCAGGACAACCAGUCACAUCUGCAGAUGCAGAUCCUGACUCCUGCAAGAAGUAGCUCACUGUGACAAAGCCGCCUUUGCUUUUAUUGCACUGAAAAAAAAGAAAAAGAAGGGGGACAUGUUGGGAACAGGCCCUGAAAUCUGGCCAUAAACUGACCCCAAAACUGACCAUAAACAAAACCUCUGCAGCACUGUGCCAUGUUCGUGAUGGCCAUGAUGCCCACGCUGAAGGUUCUGGGUUCACCAGAAUGAGGGCAAGGAAUACCUGGACCACCCAGGGUGGAAAACCACUUAAAGGUGUUCCAGAACCACAAACAAUAGCAUGAGCCAUCUGUGCCUUAAGGACAUGUUUCCACUGCAGAUAAUUAGUGGGAGCUAAUUUCUUUUUUUCGGCCUAUCCCUUUGUUUCCCAUAAGGAAUACUUUUAGUUAAUCUAUAAUCUAUAGAAACAAUGUUUAUCACUGGCUUGCUGUCAAUAAAUAUGUGGGUAAUUCUCUGUUUGAGGUUCUCAGCUCUGAAGGCUGUGAGACCCCUGAUUUCCCACUCCACACUCUAUAUUUCUGUGUGUGUGUCUUAAUUCCUGUAGUCCUGCUGUGUCCACAAUUGAGCUGGUCUUGGCACUUAUAGCUUUUUAUUCUCCUAUUUCCAGUUCUAAGUCUGCUAUUGUGGCCUGAUGCUGAAGAAUGUUUGCCUUAAAGGCCUAGGAGGGCAAUAUUUUCCUCCAAUAUAACUUGAUUCUAUACCCUUGGGUUUCUUGAUGUGUCUUAAUUAUUCCAUGUAACCAGGAAAUUUUAUGUGCUUUUACUUUUUCUAAGAGCUGUGUAUUCCCCUACUCAAGGUACUAAUUGUCUUGUUUAUGUUUUUCUAUAAUAUGGUACGUUCUUCUGUAAUGUGGCACAUUCUUCUAUAAUAUGGUGUGUGCUCAUAACCUUAGAUACACAUUAUUCCAAUUUCUGACUAAAUUAAAGUAACUUUUCAUCAGGCUUGACUUCAGGUUCUCUAAAUGGGCUUCCCAUAAGAGAAGCAAUCACACUGCAGGAGGUUUUUCUUUAUAUUUUAAAAGUUUUCCUAGGAAAACUGACUUGCAUCUUAUCAAAAUGAUUUUCUUUUUCCUGUUUUUUUUUUUUUUUUUUUUUAUCAGGGCCUUUGAUUAAGUGGUAAAACUGAGUGAUCUCUGUUAAAGGUCUAAGGCUUGCUUGUUUUUUUUUCCCCCUAAACUAUGUAACUUUCUCUAAUUUCUUUUAAAGUCUUUUAGUUAUCACCCUGGUGAAAUAAAUGACUGUUGUUUCAUGA